UACGGGGGGGGCAAGCGUUGUUCGGAAUUACUGGGCGUAAAGGGCUCGUAGGCGGCCAACUAAGUCGGAUGUGAAAUCCCCAGGCUCAACCUGGGAACUGCAUCCGAUACUGGAUGGCUUGAAUUCUGGAGAGGGAUGCAGAAUUCCAGGUGUAGCGGUGAAAUGCGUAGAUAUCUGGAGGAAUACCGGUGGCGAAGGCGGCAUCCUGGACCGACAUUGACGCUGAUGAGCGAAAGCUAGGGGAGCAAACGGG
rnacentral:rRNA from 1 species